UCACUGAAGGUUACAUUCAGCAACUACCGUGUGACCUUUGAAGAAUCUUUCAGGAAUCCUCUCUCUAAGUAACUUGAACCUAAACUGAAAAUUGGAUACUGGAGAAUAAGUCCAUGACAACAGGGUCGUGACAACAGGGUUGUGGCAUGACGGCCCCAUCACUUCUUCCUUGAGGUCUUCACAAACAGAAAAUGAAAUAAAAGCUCGCCAAGAGCUCCCCCUAGUGGCUCAACAAGGAGAAAGUAAAGAGUUUUGAUUCCACAUUGCGAAAACUUCAUCUGCUACAUAUUAGUCUCAUUUCAUUCUUAUUGUCAUUGCUUAGAAGGUAGAAAAAGUUCAAAUUAAGUCUCAGGUAAUUCAUUUAGGAUUUAAGUGUAAGAGAGAUACUUAAAAGUUAGGACAGAUGACUCGGUUAAACCACAUCACAUUGUUGAUCCCUGUUGAGUUUGUUUUAACAGUUGAGAUGAAGAAGAAAAAGACUAACAGCAGUAUCAAUUUGGACAGUGGUGUUUGUUACAUGGCCUGUGCCAAACAAGAACAAAGGAAUUUCCCAGAAAAGUAAAGACAUCGAAAACUUCCAAGUGUUUAAUUAUUUUUUAUUUUAUUAUUUCUGAACAGUGUAUCAACAUAAAAAAUAAAAAAUAAAACUCGGCAACAUGAAUGAAUAUAUUAAUGAGCACCCCCUUCUCUCCUCUACAGACAGUAGCCUUCCAAGUGUCUACUGCAGUAUGUACACAUCAUAACUCAGUUCUGAGCCGUGGAACCGAGGGAUCUUCCUUCAACAGGGAGGGGAAUACUGAUCAUUCACCUUUUAUGUUGAUUUUGCCAUACGAUAUAGUUGCGUUCAUUGUCUCUUGGCGAAACGAAACAUGCAGCAUUACCCUUUAAUAAUCUGCCGAAGACUGUUUGUUACUCGGCAGUAAACUGGUUUGGUCCAUCGCAAAUGAAUUGUCUUGCUUGAUAAAAAAGAAACAUUUUCCUGAACCUCUUACUACCUCGUUGAAGAAUCCUUUUAUUGAAAGUGACACCGUAGUGGAUUUCAAGUCAAGUGUGGCUGUAUAAAGUGAAAUAUAGCACGUAUCGCAACUAUUCACCCUCCGUUUUUCUUCAUGAUAAAUAAAACAAACACCGUCAAUCCUAGCACAAAACAGACAUUUGACACUAAACAGUGAGACACAUCACCUCACAACACAAAAGGAGAUCGUCCACUUCAUGAACAAUUGUCCCUUUCCUAGUCAGUCUUCAAGUCGCGUCACUAUUUUUCCGGAGUUUUCUGGAAGCAGUUUUUGUUUCUGAUUUAGACAGAUUAGUGGGAAACUUUACCAGAUACUGACCAAGAGGUUCGAAUUUUCUAAUUUGAGAUUGUUUGACUGUGUGAUAUUGCUGGGAACUUGCACCUGAUUCGAAGCAAACACCCAAUGCAACCUCCAAUGUCAUCAAUUGCCUACACAAAGCACUCAUUGUGUCUGGUGACCUUCCACCUCUGUUCCAGAUUGUUGGGUGCUCCAUCAACUGCCUGGUAAAACUCGCUCUCCCUCCUCCUGAAUCCACCGCUCCUUACCAAUCACAUCAUCUACACACCAAUUUACGGCAUUUUUUUGUGGCUGACUUUAAAAAAAAAGGGCUCGCAAAUCUUAUUAUCCAUAAGAGAUAUCCGCGGACGUCCAUAGGAUUCUGAACUUUCUGUUUGUUGUUUACAUCAGUGGGUGCGAUUUCACAUAAAACGCAGCCAAUUUAAAUACAGUGAAUGUCUGCAAAAAAGAAAAAGCCAAUUUAUACAUUAAAAAAAAAAAAACACGAGCAG